GAUGAAGAACGUAGCAAAAUGCGAUAAGUAAUGUGUAUUGCAGAAUUCAGUGAAUCAUCGAAUCUUUGAACGCACAUUGCGCCCGCCAGUAUUCUGGCGGGCAUGCCUGUUCGAGCGUCAUUUCAACCCUCAAGCACAGCUUGGUGUUGGGACUCGCGUUAAUUCGCGUUCCCCAAAUUGAUUGGCGGUCACGUCGAGCUUCCAUAGCGUAGUAGUAAAACCCUCGUUACUGGUAAUCGUCGCGGCCACGCCGUUAAACCCCAACUUCUGAAUGUUGACCUCGGAUCAGGUAGGAAUACCCGCUGAACUUAAGCAUAUCAAUAAGCGGAGGA
rnacentral:misc_RNA from 1 species